GGAAGAUCUAAGACUACAUGGGGAAGGUGAAGAGCCCAGCUGAGGUCACCUCUCUGGAUAUGACCCUUCAAUUGGCAGGCAUUGAGAAGUUCCUUAAGGAUAGAAAGGAGAUGCUGUCCUUGAAUUCAAGGGAUUUACUGCAUGGUGGAAAGGAUCAGACAAGAAACUGAAAUAAUUCUAAUGCAGGAAAGAAAAUAAUGAUUUCCAGCAUUUGGAGAGGGUCGACUGACUAUAUUUUGGAACCCAGUCAAGGAGCUUCCGAAGUUUAAGAGAUGUGAUGUCUAAAAACACAGAAGACAUCUUGCAACAAUGAUGCAACCGGCAUGAAAAUGAAAACCCAACAUACUCAGGAUGACAGAAAAAGGAAAGAAAGAUCUGGCUCAUUGAUGACAUUGCUGAGUUUCCAAAUCAGCUGUGAGAUCUCUUGUUAAGGACAUAAUAAACAUUCUUAUUUACUCCACUGUUGGACAGGC